GUUCGAGCGGGCCGCGGAGACCGCGCGGGCGUUCGCCGCGGCCACCGAGCGGCAGCGGCUCGGCCGGGGUUCGGGGCCCGGGUUCGAGCU
rnacentral:tRNA from 1 species